AGAGUUUGAUCAUGGCUCAGAACGAACGCUGGCGGCGUGCCUAACACAUGCAAGUCCGACGUGAAAGGGGAGCAAUCCCCCGGUAGGGUGGCAAACGGGUGAGUAAGACAUGGGUGAUCUACCUUGGGGAUGGGGAUAUCCUUCCGAAAGGAGGGGCAAUACCGAAUAUUGUCCGGAUCCGUGAAGGGAUUCGGGGAAAGGGAGACCUCUGAUACAAGCUUCCGCCUUAAGAUGAGCCCAUGGCCCAUCAGCUAGUUGGUAGGGUAAAGGCCUACCAAGGCGACGACGGGUCGCUGGUCUGAGAGGACGACCAGCCACACUGGCACUGAGAUACGGGCCAGACUCCUACGGGAGGCAGCAGUGAGGAAUAUUGCGCAAUGGGGGCAACCCUGACGCAGCAACGCCGCGUGUGGGAAGAAGGCCUUCGGGUUGUAAACCACUUUUACCCGGGACGAAAAGGGGAUGUUGAAUACACAUGCCCGAUGACGGUACCGGGAGAAUAAGCCACGGCUAACUCUGUGCCAGCAGCCGCGGUAAGACAGAGGUGGCAAGCGUUGUUCGGAAUUACUGGGCGUAAAGAGUCUGUAGGUGGUUUGUCAAGUCUUUGGUGAAAGGCCGUGGCUUAACCAUGGGAAUGCCAAAGAGACUGACAGGCUGGAGGCUGGGAGAGGGAAGCGGAAUUUCUGGUGUAGCGGUGAAAUGCGUAGAUAUCAGAAGGAAGGCCGGUGGCGAAAGCGGCUUCCUGGAACAGUCCUGACACUGAGAGACGAAAGCGUGGGGAGCAAACAGGAUUAGAUACCCUGGUAGUCCACGCCCUAAACGAUGGGUACUAA
rnacentral:rRNA from 1 species